rnacentral:rRNA from 1 species
UACAGAGGUCUCAACCGUUGUUCGGAUUCAUUGGGCGUAAAGGGUGCGUAGGCGGUCGGGUAAGUCGGAUGUGAAAUCUCAGGGCUCAACCCUGAAACUGCAUUCGAUACUGCCUGGCUAGGGUACUGGAGAGGAGACUGGAAUUUACGGUGUAGCAGUGAAAUGCGUAGAUAUCGUAAGGAAGACCAGUGGCGAAGGCGAGUCUCUGGACAGUUACCGACGCUGAGGCACGAAGGCCAGGGGAGCAAACGGG